rnacentral:rRNA from 1 species
CAGCAGCCGCGGUAAUACGUAGGGGGCGAGCGUUGUCCGGAUUUAUUGGGCGUAAAGAGCUCGUAGGUGGUUUGGUAAGUCAAAUGUGAAAUCUCCACGCUCAACGUGGAGGGGCCAUUCGAUACUGCCAUGACUUGAGUUCGGUAGGGGAAUGUGGAAUUCCUGGUGUAGCGGUGAAAUGCGCAGAUAUCAGGAGGAACACCCGUAGCGAAGGCGGCAUUCUGGGCCGAUACUGACACUGAGGAGCGAAAGCGUGGGGAGCGAACAGGAUUAGAUACCCUGGUAGUCCACGCCGUAAACGGUGGGCACUAGGUGUGGGACCCUUUCGACGGGUUCCGUGCCGUAGCUAACGCAUUAAGUGCCCCGCCUGGGGAGUACGGCCGCAAGGCUAAAACUCAAAGGAAUUGACGGGGGCCCGCACAAGCGGCGGAGCAUGUGGCUUAAUUCGAUGCAACGCGAAGAACCUUACCUGGGUUGAACUAUGCAGGAAAAGCAGUAGAGAUACUGUGUCCUUCGGGGCCUGCGAUAGGUGGUGCAUGGCC